rnacentral:rRNA from 1 species
AGCGUACAAGGUGGAUGCCUUGGCAAUCAGAGGCGAUGAAGGACGUGCUAAUCUGCGAAAAGCUUGGAUGAGUCGAUAAGAGGCGUUUAAUCCAAGAUGUCCGAAUGGGGAAACCCAGUAGAUGAAGAAUCUACUAUCACUUACUGAAUACAUAGGUAAGUGAGGCAAACCGGGAGAACUGAAACAUCUAAGUACCCCGAGGAAAAGAAAUCAACCGAGAUUUCGUUAGUAGCGGCGAGCGAACGCGAAGGAGCCUGUUAGUGAUAAUGACAGAGACAGAGGAACAAGCUGGGAAGCUUGGCGAUACAGGGUGAUAGCCCCGUACUCGAAGUCCAGGUCAUGGUACUAAGCUAACGAUAAGUAGGGCGGGACACGUGAUAUCCUGUUUGAAGAUGGGGGGACCAUCCUCCAAGGCUAAAUACUCCUGAUUGACCGAUAGUGAACCAGUACUGUGAAGGAAAGGCGAAAAGAACCCCGGUGAGGGGAGUGAAAUAGAACCUGAAACCUUGUACGUACAAGCAGUGGGAGCCCUUUAAGGGUGACUGCGUACCUUUUGUAUAAUGGGUCAGCGACUUAUAUUUUGUAGCGAGGUUAACCGAAUAGGGGAGCCGAAGGGAAACCGAGUCUUAACUGGGCGUCUAGUUGCAAGGUAUAGACCCGAAACCCGGUGAUCUAGCCAUGGGCAGGUUGAAGGUUGGGUAACACUAACUGGAGGACCGAACCGACUAAUGUUGAAAAAUUAGCGGAUGACUUGUGGCUGGGGGUGAAAGGCCAAUCAAACCGGGAGAUAGCUGGUUCUCCCCGAAAUCUAUUUAGGUAGAGCCUUGAGCGGACACCUUCGGGGGUAGAGCACUGUUUCGGCUAGGGGUCCAUCCCGGAUUACCAACCCGAUGCAAACUACGAAUACCGAAGAGUGAUACUCAGGAGACACACGGCGGGUGCUAACGUCCGUCGUGGAGAGGGAAACAACCCAGACCGCCAGCUAAGGUCCCAAAGUCUAUAUUAAGUGGGAAACGAAGUGGGAAGGCUUAGACAGCUAGGAUGUUGGCUUAGAAGCAGCCAUCAUUUAAAGAAAGCGUAAUAGCUCACUAGUCGAGUCGGCCUGCGCGGAAGAUGUAACGGGGCUCAAAUAUAGCACCGAAGCUGCGGCAUCAGACGAAAGUCUGUUGGGUAGGGGAGCGUUCUGUAAGCGGAUGAAGGUGAAUCGAGAGGUUUGCUGGACGUAUCAGAAGUGCGAAUGCUGACAUAAGUAACGAUAAAACGGGUGAAAAACCCGUUCGCCGGAAGACCAAGGGUUCCUGUCCAACGUUAAUCGGGGCAGGGUGAGUCGGCCCCUAAGGCGAGGCUGAAAAGCGUAGUCGAUGGGAAACGGGUUAAUAUUCCCGUACUUGGAUAAACUGCGAUGUGGGGACGGAGCAGGUUAGGUUAUCGCACUGUUGGAUAUGUGCGUUUAAGUUUGUAGGUGGGAAGUUUAGGCAAAUCCGGACUUCUUUAACACUGAGAGAUGAUGACGAGGCUCUACGGAGCUGAAGUAACCGAUACCACACUUCCAGGAAAAGCCACUAAGCUUCAGGUUUAUCUAAACCGUACUGAAAACCGACACAGGUGGUCAGGUAGAGAAUACUCAGGCGCUUGAGAGAACUCGGGUGAAGGAACUAGGCAAAAUAGCACCGUAACUUCGGGAGAAGGUGCGCCGGCGUAGAUUGUAGUCCCUAGCGGGCGAAGGUUGAACCGGUCGAAGAUACCAGCUGGCUGCAACUGUUUAUUAAAAACACAGCACUCUGCAAACACGAAAGUGGACGUAUAGGGUGUGAUGCCUGCCCGGUGCUGGAAGGUUAAUUGAUGGUGUAAUCGAAAGAGAAGCUCCUGAUCGAAGCCCCAGUAAACGGCGGCCGUAACUAUAACGGUCCUAAGGUAGCGAAAUUCCUUGUCGGGUAAGUUCCGACCCGCACGAAUGGCGUAACGAUGGCCACACUGUCUCCUCCCGAGACUCAGCGAAGU